ACGGAGGGUGCGAGCGUUAAUCGGAAUUACUGGGCGUAAAGCGCGCGUAGGCGGCUUGGUCAGUUGGGUGUGAAAUCCCCGGGCUUAACCUGGGAACUGCAUCCAAUACUGCCAGGCUAGAGUACGAGAGAGGGGGGUAGAAUUUCUAGUGUAGCGGUGAAAUGCGUAGAUAUUAGAAGGAAUACCAGUGGCGAAGGCGGCCCCCUGGCUUGAUACUGACGCUGAGGUGCGAAAGCGUGGGGAGCGAACAGG
rnacentral:rRNA from 1 species